rnacentral:rRNA from 1 species
AUUGAACGCUGGCGGCAUGCUUUACACAUGCAAGUCGAACGGUAACAGGCCGCAAGGUGCUGACGAGUGGCGAACGGGUGAGUAAUGCAUCGGAACGUGCCCAGUCGUGGGGGAUAACGCGGCGAGAGCUUUGCUAAUACCGCAUACGAUCUCAGGAUGAAAGCAGGGGACCGCAAGGCCUUGCGCUCACGGAGCGGCCGAUGGCAGAUUAGGUAGUUGGUGGGAUAAAAGCUUACCAAGCCGACGAUCUGUAGCUGGUCUGAGAGGACGACCAGCCACACUGGUACUGAGACACGGCCCAGACUCCUACGGGAGGCAGCAGUGGGGAAUUUUGGACAAUGGGCGCAAGCCUGAUCCAGCCAUGCCGCGUGCAGGAUGAAGGCCUUCGGGUUGUAAACUGCUUUUGUACGGAACGAAAAGACUCUGGUUAAUACCUGGGGUCCAUGACGGUACCGUAAGAAUAAGCACCGGCUAACUACGUGCCAGCCGCCGCCGUAACAC